CCGUCCCUGUCAGGGGAGAUGCCAACCAUCUCUCCUUUCUACGAACACAGUCGCUUGAAAAAAACAUACAUAAACCCUAUUAAAAGCAUAUAACUAUCCGAUGUGGGACAACAACAGCAUUCAUUUACAUCCCCAUCGGCCAUGGCCUCACCUCCCUAGUCCCACCACAACAUCGCUGCCACCGCUUGACGACGAAGAUGAUGAUCAGCGUCCUGAUUUCUCUCCCGUUGGAUCCCCUGACUUCCACGAGGAUCUUCCUCAGCAGCACUCCGAUCAACCCCACCGGUGACCUUCGCCUCAAGACUAUCUAGCUGGCAGGCAAUUCUUCCCCUUUCUCAACGAUGAUCUUCCGCAAGCCUCUACUGUAAGGAACGAAAAAACAAAAUUCUGGAGGGAAUCAGAUCCUGAUAGGCAUACUUGUGGUCAAACAUCUGAUCAAGCUGUAGAUGAGGAGAACCACCAUGGUGAUUCACAUGAUGAAGAGGAUUAGGCAUGGAAUCCCUAAACAAUAGUGGUCUUUUGACAUUCUCAACAUUGCUGCUCUUCUUAGUGGAUUGCUGUGCUUGGAAAAUAGUCAGAUUACCCUUGGCACCAUUCUUUAUGAUGCGCCCCUUUCUCAACACUCUUCUAAGAAAGUCACCCCUACAAUGGGUGGAUUAUAUUUUAUACCCAUUGGUGUACUUGUUGCAGACAGUAGACUGGGAUUUUCUUCUGUGGAAGUUUUGGGAGCAUCUGUAGCACAAUUGGAUUUCUUGAUGAUUUAGUAAGCCUCAAGAAUAACAACCGUGGUUUAUCUGCUUGGAUUAGAAUUCUCUUGGAGGUAGCUGUAGGGAUAUGGCUCUCAUUUUGGUUGAACACCACAGACAUAUCAUCACCUUAAAGCAGUAUUUGUCUUGCAUGAGUGUAUAAGGUGGUGAUACUCUUAGACUUUUUGUAAACCUGCAAUUCUUCUGAUUGCAAUUUUAUGUGGCAACAUAUAUAAGAAUUAAAUGUUUUUAAGAGACCAGCACACCAAGCUAAUUGCAACAAAUGCAAUUCCACGCUGCAAUUGCAGGUCUGAUGUAGUAGUGGGCAAGCCAUUGCAACAAAUGCAAUUGCAAGUUAGGUGUAGUGUGCUAGGGGACAAUUAACUUGGUAACCAGAGAGUUUUCAAGUUCUUUUUCAAGUUCUUUUUGGAAGUUGCUUGUUGAUUUUCUUAGUUUGAGUCAGUUAGUUAUUAACAAUCUAGAGCGGAAUGUCUCAUUACGGGUCUUUGUUGACAAGUGUUAUAACGUGGAUUUCACUGAAAUUGCACUUUGGGGUAGUGCUGGCAAGAAUUUUCGUAAAUCAAA